UACGUAGGGUGCGAGCGUUGUCCGGAAUUACUGGGCGUAAAGAGCUCGUAGGUGGUUUGUCGCGUUGUCCGUGAAAACUCACAACUCAAUUGUGGGCGUGCGGGCGAUACGGGCAGACUGGAGUACUGCAGGGGAGACUGGAAUUCCUGGUGUAGCGGUGGAAUGCGCAGAUAUCAGGAAGAACACCCGUGGCGAAGGCGGCUCGCUGGAACGGUACUGACGCUGAGGAGCGAAAGCGUGGGGAGCGAACAGG
rnacentral:rRNA from 1 species